rnacentral:lncRNA from 1 species
GUGAGUCCUACAAGUCAGUUGAUUUACUUUGCUAGAGGAAGUGGCAAGAUUGAAGUUGUGGACUUCAAUGGAAAGAGUGUGUUAAACACUCAUGUUGAGGCUGGUCAUUUGCUUGUUGUGCCACAGUUCUUUGUGGUUGCUGAAAUUGCUGGUGAAGAAGGAAUGGAGAGUUAUUCCAUUGUAACAACAACAAAGUAAGUUGUUGAGAAAUGAUUUUAAUGGCAUGCAAUACCAUUAAAAGUGAUUGAUUGUGUUAUUACAAAGUAUGACAUAUCACUAAUACUAACAAAAAAUGAUUGAUUAUCCUGUUUUGCAGACCUUUGUUUGAAGAGUUGGGUGGAAAGGAAUCAAUAUGGAGCAUUUUAUCACCUACACUGCAACAAGCGGCUCUUAAUGUGGAUUCUGAUUUUCAAAAGUUUUUCACAACCAAGAUCAAGGAAUCUACCAAGCUCAUCCCACCUUCUACUUAAUUUGAUAUGUGUGAUGUAUGUGUGGUCUACUAAUG